rnacentral:lncRNA from 1 species
UUAUGAAAAAAUUUUAAGUGAUUUACGGAUCUUUUAUACAUGUUUUUCAGAGCUAAGAUAAGAGCCUUAACCCUCCUGGAUACUGUUUUAACCAUAAAAAUGAACCCUGAACAUUCACAGAAGACAUCGCCUCAUGGCCAGGACCUUGCACCCUCCUGCCGGUCCGAUGCAGCAGCUGGAGCACCAGGCCUGAGGACGCCACGGGGUCUUCGUGAGGUUUGUAGCAGAGAGGCCAGGAGGAGCCUCGCUUCGCUUCUGAGCACAGUACAUUCACUGUCACUUGGUAACCCAGCAUACAGCUCAGGAUGCCAUCUACAUAAAGACCCAGAGAGGAAAGAGACCAGAGCUUUGAUGAACAACCGCCCAGCUCUAACUCGAGUAAUACAACAGGACAAGAUACCAUGCCUGUAUCUUGUACUUUGGGUAGCUACUAUAAGACAACAAUAACGCAGUGUAUUAAUUAUUGUAACUCUCACUAACUUGCUUUUUAAAACUUGUUUUGAAACUCUGCUUUAUUGUGAUUUUUGUCUUUUUAAAAUUAAAAAAGUGUAAAACCAAUGUACAAUAUUAAAAGAAUGAAGCAAACCUGUUUCUUAAGUGA